rnacentral:rRNA from 1 species
GGUUGAUUCUGCCUGACGUAGACGCUAUUCCCUAAGAUUAACCCAUGCAUGUUUUUGACAUUUGAAAAAUGGACUGCUCAGUAAUACUCACUUUAUUUUAUGUAAAUUUUUAAUUAACUACGUUAAAGUGUAGAUAAGAUGUUUACAGUAAGAGUGAGACCUAUCAGCUAGUUGUUAAGGUAAUGGCUUAACAAGGCUGUGACGGGUAACGGUAUUACUUUGUAAUAUUCCGGAGAAGGAGCCUGAGAGACGGCUACUAAGUUUAAGGAUUGCAGCAGGGGGGAAACUUGACCUAUGGAUUUUAUUUGAGGCAGUUAUGGGAAGUAAUAUUAUAUUGUUUCAUAUUUUAAAAGUAUAUGAGGUGAUUAAUUGGAGGGCAAAUCAAGUGCCAGCAGCCGCGGUAAUACUUGUUCCAAGAGUGUGUAUGAUGAUUGAUGCAGUUAAAAAGUCCGUAGUUUAUUUUUUUAAGAAGCAAUAUGAGGUGUACUGUAUAGUUGGGAGAAAGAUGAAAUGUGACGACCCUG